GACGAACGCUGGCGGCGUGCCUAAUACAUGCAAGUCGAGCGAAGUUUUUCUGGUGCUUGCACUAGAAAAACUUAGCGGCGAACGGGUGAGUAACACGUAAAGAACCUGCCUCAUAGACUGGGACAACUAUUGGAAACGAUAUCUAAUACCGGAUAACAGUAUUUCUCGCAUGAGAGAUAUUUAAAAGUUUGUUAUGCUAACACUAUGAGAUGGCUUUGCGGUGCAUUAGCUAGUUGGUGGGGUAAAGGCCCACCAAGGCGACGAUGCAUAGCCGACCUGAGAGGGUGAUCGGCCACACUGGGACUGAGACACGGCCCAGACUCCUACGGGAGGCAGCAGUAGGGAAUCUUCCGCAAUGGGCGAAAGCCUGACGGAGCAACGCCGCGUGAGUGAAGAAGGAGUUCGGUUCGUAAAGCUCUGUUGUUAGGGAAGAAUGGAUAUGUAGUAACUAUACAUGUAAGAGACGGUACCUAACCAGAAAGCCACGGCUAACUACGUG
rnacentral:rRNA from 1 species